CCUACGGGAGGCAGCAGUGAGGAGUAUUGGUCAAUGGCCGAGAGGCUGAACCAGCCAAGUCGCGUGAGGGAAGACGGCCCUACGGGUUGUAAACCUCUUUUGUCGGGGAGCAAAGCGAACCACGUGUGGUUCAUGGAGAGUACCCGAAGAAAAAGCAUCGGCUAACUCCGUGCCAGCAGCCGCGGUAAUACGGAGGAUGCGAGCGUUAUCCGGAGUUGUUGGGUUUAAAGGGUGCGAAGGCGGAGGUGCAAGUCAGCGGUCAAAUUGCGGGGCUCAACCCCGUACUGCCGUUGAAACUGCAUCCCUUGAGUGCGCGAGAAGUAUGCGGAAUGCGUGGUGUAGCGGUGAAAUGCAGAGAUAUCACGCAGAACUCCGAUUGCGAAGGCAGCAUACCGGCGCGCAACUGACGCUCAUGCACGAAAGCGUGGGUAUCGAACAGGAUUAGAUACCCGAGUAGUC
rnacentral:rRNA from 1 species